GAGCCGCUGAGGGACUGCGCAGGAAGACCACAGAAAUAAACCAAAGGGACACCGCGGACAGAUGUACCAGAGGACACCACUGAAGUCCAGGAGAAUCUCCACCAAAACCAUCAGCGUUUUCCUUGUAGCUUUCUGUCCCUCGAAGUGGAAAGUUGAGGUUUCUGAGAAGUCCACGGAGAGAACCUGCAGCAAACUGAAGCCACAGACUCCGAAGGCAUAGGGAGAAAAAAUGCUUCCAUCCCCCUUUCACUUUAAACUUGAUCGCUUCUGGGACUUCACUGGAGGGCGGUGGAGUUGCACCAACCUGGAGUACAGGCAGAUCCCAGCGAGCACUUCCAAGUACUUUAGGACGUGGGGGUGACUCUUUUUUCUUCAGGAUUGUCCCACUUGCCACCCUUUCCAGCUGAGCUGAUAGGAACCAAUGAAAGUCUAGGCGAUGAGGAUUUUCCGUUACCUCAGGGAUCAAAGUAUAAAAUGUUGAAUGAGAAACCCGAAGACCUUGCAUCGCUGGGCUGAAUAACUUGUUUUCUUUUUUAUGGUGUCCAGACUGAGUUCAUUUUUCUGAGGACCAAUGGUGAUAAGUGUUGGUCUGCCUAUCUUCCCAGAAUAAUCCAAGAUUUGGGGAAAGAAAGAGUAUUUUGCUAAUUUCAGUUUUCUUUCACAUUAAAAAGUUCAACGUAUCUAGAACGGAACAAAACGGAGAAAGCAAAGAAUAAAGGUAAACUCUAAGUUAAUAGUUAUUCAGUAAUACAUAAACAAUUCUCUGUAUG
rnacentral:lncRNA from 1 species